GCAGUGGUGGUUAAGUGGUAAAAUUCUUGCCUUACAUGUAGGAGAUCUGGGUUGGAUUUCCAACCAAUGCA
rnacentral:tRNA from 1 species